rnacentral:rRNA from 1 species
GAGUAAUGCGUGACCAACCUGCCCCAUGCUCCAGAAUAGCUCUUGGAAACGGGUGGUAAUGCUGGAUGCUCCAACUUGACGCAUGUCUUGUUGGGAAAGUGUUUAGUGGCAUGGGAUGGGGUCGCGUCCUAUCAGCUUGUAGGCGGGGUAAUGGCCCACCUAGGCUUCGACGGGUAGCCGGCCUGAGAGGGCGGACGGCCACAUUGGGACUGAGAUACGGCCCAGACUCCUACGGGAGGCAGCAGNU